rnacentral:lncRNA from 1 species
GUGCAAUCUCGGCUCACUGCAAGCUCCGCCUCCCGGGUUCACGCCAUUCUCCUGCCUCAGGCUCCUGAGCAGCUGGGACCACAGGCACCUGCCACCACGCCCAGCUAAUUUUUUGUAUUUUUAGUAGAGAUAGGGUUUCACCGUGCUAACCAGGAUGGUCUUGAUCUCCUGACCUCAUGAUCCACCCGCCUUGGCCUCCCAAAGUGCUGGGAUUACAGGCGUGAGCCACUGCACCCGGCCAAAUUUUUGUAUUUUUGGUAGGGACGGGUUUUACCAUGUUGGCCAGGCUGGUCUUGAACUCCUGACCUCAGGUGAUCCUCCCUUCUCAGCCUCCCAAAGUGUUGGGAUUACAGGCGUGAGCCACCAUGCUCAGCCUGCAUUUGCUAUUUUGAUAUCUAUUACCAAAUUUUUCUUUGGAAAUGUGCCAGUUUACACUCCCACAAAUACUUUUGUCAGCAUUAGUUAGGUAUUACAUGUUUUUAAAUCCUCAUUAAUUCAGCAAACAAUUUUAUUUUAAUUGCCAUAUAGCUUGCUAUGUGUAUGUCUCUUGAAGAAUUACCUGUUCUUUUUAUUGAGGUCUUUAUUUUUUAUUGACUUGUAACUGUUCAUUGCAUCUUAAAAAUAGUAGCACUUUGUUGUGUGCUUACUGUUGUUUUCCCUCAGUUUUUCUUGGUUUUGAACUAGUUUUUGUUUUGUUUUUGUUUUUUGCCAUAUAGAAGGGUUACAAAGUUAAAUAUUUCCAUGUUUUCCAUUAUAGCUUCUGGUAGUAACUAGAAUUUACCUAAGCCCAGAAGAAUAAAAAGUCACCUGUGUUUUAUUCUGGCUUUAUACUGUUUUCAUUUGUUCUGUUAUAAUUUUUGUAUAAGAAAUCCAGGAAUCUAUUUUGCUUCUGAAGUGGCUGUCCAAUCAGGAUUUACCUUUUACCACUUGGUUGGAGAGGUGGGGGAAGAAGAGACUGGAGGAAAUAGAAGCUGAAGACAGGACUAGAUGUGUCUCCCUCCCCAGCCUCCUUUCUCUGCAGAGGUGGAGGAAUCACGGAAGCUAUCGUGGCUUUAGGUGUUGACUUUUGUCAAUGUUUGCUGAAGCCAGGAGUGAAAUUGAGACAAUAUUCCGAUUCUUGGAACCUGAGUUAGCGUUAAAGGGGAUGACAAACAGGCUGUUGUUAGGAGGUAGUUCCAUGUAAUAGGAAGAGUUUCCACCUCCCUCAGAGGCUGCCUUUCUCGUUUCUCCAAAUGAUUUCGCGGUUGGCCUAAGUUUCCUUUACUUCUCCCUACGAUGGUGUAACAUUAGCUUGAAUGCUGACGCUAUGUGGUGGUGAGCGGCAGUGGGUGUAUCUUGCCCAUAAACCCUUGGAGGACAGUGGAGGACAGGGACUGACCAACUCACCCAAGGGUCCUCUGCAUGCACAUGGUCCCUGCACAUGGCACAUAGUUGGUGCUCAGAAGGCCUUUGCUGGAACAAAGGAAAACACAAGCACCCACAGCAGUGAUGGCUGAUUUUGUCGGGUCUGCAAUGGAGAUUAGUCACCACUAGGUGUCAUGGUGAGUCAAGAAACAUUUUGGCUCAUGGUUACAAAUUAUGCGUUUACUGUAUUCAUCUUCGUGCAUGCACACAUGCAAUGUUUUACAAAGCAUCUGUUGAGUGUCUACGGCACAACACACACGUUCUGGUGCUGGAGAUCCUGCCCUGGCUGAGCUUCUGGACCUGGUGGGGAGAAAUCCACAAUGAGUACUGAGACGACCGGCAAAAGCCCGGUGAAGGCACCUAGGAGUAGGGCCUGCUUACCCUGGAGGAGUCGGGAGCAGCUUCCACAGCAAGGAGGCUUCUAAGAUUUUUUGUUCUUUGUCAGCAUGAGUACCUGGGAUCUUACAUGUAGCCCCUGCAUCAUUUCAGAAAUGAUCUCCAGUGCCCAGGCUCUGAUGCCCAACAGACCUGAAGUUACAUCCCAACCUGAACAGGCGGCUUUUGCUCUCCAGGCCUUCAUUGCCCCACAGUGGGAACAAUAAUAAUAUGCACCUUCUAGGUACCCAAAAGCACAAGAGACAGUGAACGGAAAGUGCUUGGAAGCCCCGUGCCCAGGUGGUGCUGGCCCCAGCUGAACUGCGGGGAUAGAUGUUGAGUGUCCAGGUUCUAGCAUCAUAGAACAGAAUCCGGCCUGUUGGGAAAUCCUGCCUACAAGUAUACCUCCAUUAAUUAGUGUCUUCUGUGAACAUUUUUAUUAAAAAAAGAAGAAAAGCUUCUCAACCCAAGCCCAAGGGCAUGUCCUGAUUUGUUGAAAGUAGUUGUAAGACCAUUUCAUUAUUCACUCUACUUUUUCAUAUGUUGGAAAUGUUUUAUAAGAAUAAAUACAAUAAUAUCAGGCUGUGUGCGGUGGCUCAUGCCUGUAAUCCUAGCACUUUGGCAGGCUGGCCAACAUCAUGAAAGCCUGUCUCUACUAAAAAUACAAAAAAUUAACUGGCAUGGUGGCGCGCACCUGUAAUCCCAGCUACUCGGGAGGCUGAGGCACAAGAAUUGCUUGAGCUGGGGAGGCGCAGGUUUCAGUGAGCUGAGAUUGUGUCACUGCACUCCAUCCAGGCUGGGAGACAGAGUGAGACCUUGUCUCAAAGAAAAAAAAAAAGAAAUACAAAGAUAUCAGCUUAAAACAAAAGAACUCAUUUGAAAUUUGCCAGUCUUUUAAAUUUUGUUUUCUUUUUUUAAUACUAUUUGUUUUUGAGAGUCUCACUAUGUUGCCCAGGCUGUUCUCAAACUCCUAGGCUCAGGUUCCUCCCAUCUCAGCCUGUGGAGUAUCUGGGAUUACAGGCACAUCCCGCUGCACCCAGCUUCCUUUCCUUAUAAGUUCAAUGAAACCGAAUUGUAUGCUUUUGCUUUUUAAAAAGCUGUGCACAAAAAUGUCAUUUUAUAUAUUAAUAAUUAUUUCCCUAAAUCUAUUCUUUUGCGUAUAGGUUUGGAGAACCUCUGGAAUGAUACUCCCAAAAUAUUAUUUUUUAAGAAAUUAUUUUUGGGUGGUGGCCUAUUGGGUAAAUUUUUCCUGAACUUUCUAUUUUGUAUUCUUGUCAUUAUUUGGAUAGUUUUACAGAAACAAAAGUUGUAUUCUGUGAACACAGAGGGAGAAAGAGAAAUAAUAAAAUUAUUUCCCCUUCCACUGAGCUGUAUGCAGCAAGAGUUUGGGGGCAGUGAGGUCCCGGGGUCGGUGGAAAGAGGGGACAGGGAGCCACAGGGCGGGUGCUGAGGUGGACACAGCCUUGGGGAGCACAUUGCCUACUCAGUCCAUGCCCCCAUCACACCCUUUGCCUGCAACGCGCCUCCAGCUCUGGAACUCAUCCUCCACUAACCCGGCACCCACAGGCCAAGCUGUCACGCAAGGAAGCGGCCACGCGAGGGCGUGAUCUACCAGGGAUCCGUGCCUGGGUCUGUGCAUCCUCCCUUCUGCAGCCAGAAGAAACCCCUUUGAAGAAGCGGGUGGAUGACAAGCUUGCAAUACACCGGGGAGGGGAGCAGCAUCCCCAGAGGCUUUUCCAUGCACCCUCUUUCUGAGCAGCUCUGGAUACCCUGGGUCAGCUCCCACACAAAUUGCUCAUAACUCAUUAGUCACCCUUAAAAUUAAUCUCUCCAACAGUGACAUCCUGUACUCAGGCGGUGUCUUAACCCCCUGAAAAUGCCUUCGUGGCAAUGUCCCUGUGGCAUAAGCAUGCCCCAUUUUGCAAGGGAGGGAAUUAAAUUUCAGAGAAGUUAAGCGAUCCAGGGAAUUUCAGUAGCAGAAAUAAGUCUAGAACGGAGAUUACCCAACUUGACUCAAAUGGCAAAACGUUUGUCAUGGGGAAUUUAAUUCUUUAAACCUUUUCGUUGCUUUAUCUCCUUGCUUGGAAUAUUCACCAUCCAUGUGCCCACUAAAUCCUGACUGCUCUGAGACCACGUUCUUCAUGCCAGUCUUAUCUCCCGUGCCUCCUGGGCUUAGGAAUCUGAUGAGCCUGAGUGUGGAUCUGGGUCCUGCCCCCUGACUGUGUGGGGUUACCCGGAUUCCCUGAACUUCGGUCUCCCCUCAUGGAAAAUGGGGAUGGUAUGCCUUCCUACAUGAAGGCGAUCUCAAUAUAGUUACCAGCUGGCGACUAUACAGGCAGUUGUCAGUCAGCCUGUGGGACACAUGGGUGGCUGGAUCAGUCUGGCAGGAGCAGGUGGAGAGAAUUACCAGGUGAUAUGCUGACCCCACGAGGACCAAGGACCGCACUGCUCAAGCCUUCACCUGCCACUUGGCAUUAAAGCCUCUUUACCCUUGUCUCCCCAACCGGACAAUACAUUCCUAGGUGGGAGGGCCCCUGCCUUUCACUGCUGCUGUCUUGGAGCUAGGCAAUGUAAUUUCAUGUAUCAGAUGACGGCUGUCAAGCACUAAGUUUUGUUUGUUCCUUCUGCUGUCUCCUAAGUUCACAAAUAAACAACAGCCCUGAGAAUCCUCAUGGCGGCUUUGGAACCUCGAGCAUCAUAAAGUAUAUUCGGGAGUCCGGAGGGCCUUGGCUCCCUUGUGCUGGCAGGGCAGAAUGAAGCUGGGUGCAUUGUGUGUGCCCCACCAGCACAAGCGCUAGCAUUUGUCUCAAUGCCGGGGAUUCCUGGAGCACCCGCUGUUCUCUAGACGCCCCCUUUACC